rnacentral:sRNA from 1 species
UGGUGGUGAUUGAGCUCUUUUGCCUAAUAUAAGUUAGUUGGUUUGCGCUGCCACACUGCAACUACCCACAAGAGGGAAAUCCGCCGACCCUGGCACAGACGAGACAUCUAUGGGCUUCAGGGUCAUGCUCUGGUUGCUUGGUUAUUUAAAGGAGCCUAAGUCCUGCAAGGGAGACAGUGGAAGCAGCCAACCUGCACUUCUCAGUCAAUAAGACGGUUAAAACAGGUCUUCUGUUUCGGUUGUCCAGGCUUGCAACAUUCUCUCUGAACGAUUCCUAGGGUUAUAUCACCAGAUUCGUUACCUACAUAAGGAUUCAAGCAAACUGCAUUCCCUCCAACUGUGCAGACCAGUUGUUCAUCGCGCACGCUGUUGACCUUACCACUCGAACUAACUCCGUACAAAGAGAAAUAAUAUCGGAUACCACGUGGCUCUUGUACCCAAUCGCAAGGACUACCAGGACCCGCCGGUCAGCCUGGAUAUUUACCGCGUUCGUGAUGAUAGAGACGUGGCAAGUUUACUGAACUGGAGUAGUACUUGCAAGUGGUUUCGGACGUUACUUGCGCCAAGGUGUUUUGAGCGUCGACGCCGAAAGGAGGCAUCUGCUGAGUGAGCAAGUCUACUCUGGCUUUAAAUACCAACACGGGGCUACGUGAAGCUAGAAUGCCAAAACCUCUGUAAUGUCAAAUUUCAAAAUCUAUUCCUCUGUCAGGAGGUAGUUGCAUUUUUGACCAAGCAUCUCGGAACCCUGGAGUCGAUCACGCUAGAAAACUGCUAUGGCAACCAUUCUCUAAAGCCUCAGCAUGUCCGGUAUCCAUUUAGCUAACGUGACUCACCACCCAACGAACUCAUCCACCCAACGAACUCCUAUUUUUUCCAUGAAUCCCUGCAACUCUUCAACUUCAACCACCCACCAUGCCACCCAACGAAGCAAUUAUAGAACAAGCGAUCGCUCAAUUGAAUCAACAAUUGAUUCCUAAAUAUGCUGAGGUUGCAAAGGAAUUCGGAAUCAAUUGUGUUACCUUGAUGCAGCAGUUCAAAGAUCAACAGAUCUCCAGAACAGAGGCAACAUCAAUCUACUGUCAGAAUCUCACAAAUACUGAAGAACAACACCUUCUAUUUCAUAUUAAUCAGUUAUUCAAUCACAGCUUCUCUGUGACAUCUCAAAUACUGUGCAAUUUUGUAUUUGAGAUCAUCAAAAU